rnacentral:tRNA from 1 species
GUGGAUAUAGCUCAGUGGUAGAGCAUUCGACUGCAGAUCGAACUGUUCCCAGUUCAAACCUGGGUGCCCCCU